CGCCACCUCCCUCUUCAUAAACAAGCUCUCUUCCCUUCCUCUCUCUCUUUCUAAUGGAAAACAGAUUCAAGAUGAGAAUCUCUCGCAUGUUUCGUGGUUCCUUUGGCUCGUGUCGGACCCGAAACUCAUCGGACGUGGUAGAAGAAGCUGUUUUUGUCCCUCAAAAGCACGGGGAACACUUCCAUUUCCAUGUUAUGGAGCCUUUGCCUUUGCCUCCUAAGCCUCUACCUUAUACUUCCAUUUGCAGACCCAAAUGCCCCGAAACAACAGCCAAAGCCAUCACCAAAUCUAUCUUCCCCAGGAAAAAAAUAUCGGGACGAUUUCCUCCUUUUAUAUCGGCAAAUUAUAAUACUAAUGGAAACAAUUGUCCCCCUGCGUCGCCUGCUUCUCCAUUCCACAGAGGAUUUGGUUUCAGAGAGAAAAGGAAUAGUUCGAGAUCAGUGAAAAACAGGAAAAAGAAAAAGAACAACCCCCAUUUGAAGAGCAACAGAAGGGACAUGAGUCUGUUUAGCUCAUCUUCGCAAGAUAGUGCAUAUUUUGAAGGCAGCUAUUGGUUUAGCAGCGAGGAAGAUGAGGACGAGAGAGAAGGAGAAUCAGAUACGCUUUUUUCUUCAAGAAGUCUCUCCUCAGAUUCAUCAGGAUCUCACUGCCACCGUUCUCGCCGCAAGAAGUUCAGUUCUCGCCGGAGAAGGGUUGCCUCUAAAAGUUCUCAAAUGGGUGUUUUCCCCUUGCAUGGCAAAAUGAAGGAAAGCUUUGCAGUGGUGAAGAGUUCUAGUGAUCCAUACAAUGAUUUCAGGACAUCAAUGGUGGAGAUGAUCGUUGAAAAGAAGAUGUUUGCAGCUAAGGAUCUUGAACAGCUAUUGCAGUGUUUCCUCUCCUUGAACUCUUACCAUCAUCAUAGGAUUAUUAUGGAAGUCUUCACAGAGAUUUGUGAGGCCUUGUUCUCUAACUGGUCUUAAUAAUGAAGAAAACUGUACUGUAGUGCACUUUGCAUUCUGUUAUCUUGUAGUUUAGAGUUCUAAUUAACUAUGAUUAACAGUCUGUUAAUGGAUAUUUCUCUGCAUACGUUCUGCUUUCUUGGUGUUAUUAUUCUGGUUUCCAUAUUAACUAUGAUCUUG
rnacentral:misc_RNA from 1 species